UACGGGGGGGGCAAGCGUUGUUCGGAAUUACUGGGCGUAAAGGGCUCGUAGGUGGCCAACUAAGUCAGACGUGAAAUCCCUCAGCUUAACUGGGGAACUGCGUCUGAUACUGGAUGGCUUGAGUUUGGGAGAGGGAUGCGGAAUUCCAGGUGUAGCGGUGAAAUGCGUAGAUAUCUGGGGGAAGGCCGGCGGCGAAGGCGCCUUUCUGGGAGAUUCCUGACACUGAGGCGCGAAAGCGUGGGGAGCAAACGGG
rnacentral:rRNA from 1 species